rnacentral:rRNA from 1 species
UACGGGGGGCAAGCGUUGUUCGGAAUUACUGGGCGUAAAGGGCUCGUAGGCGGCCAACUAAGUCAGACGUGAAAUCCCUCGGCUUAACCGGGAACUGCGUCUGAUACUGGAUGGCUUGAGGUUGAGAGAGGGAUGCGGAAUUCCAGGUGUAGCGGUGAAAUGCGUAGAUAUCUGGAGGAACACCGGUGGCGAAGGCGGCAUCCUGGACCAAUUCUGACGCUGAGGAGCGAAAGCCAGGGAGCAACGGG